AGAGAGAGAUAGAGAGAGAUCAGACUGCGAACGAGCUCAAAAUGGAGAGUGCGCCAACUUGUGUAUUCAAUUUGAUGGAACCUCCAUCGAAUCAAAUCAAAUCAGAGAAAAGUGUAAAGUGUAAAGUGUCAAUGGAACUUGGAAGAGAGAGAGAGAGAGAGAGAGAGAGAGAGAGAGAGAGAGAGAUGUAACUUGUGCUGACCAGACAAAGCACUUUCCAGUUCAAAGGAAGAAGAAAAGGGAGGGUGAAAUGCAGCGAUUCCUUUUUCCUACAUGCCAAAUGCUAAUGGUCCUUGAAGGGACUAGUCCACUUUAGCCCCACCCCACCCCACAGUCCACACAUACGCACCACAAAAGAAAAUUGGAGGGCGGAAAACAACACCGCAGCAAACAACCAGCUUGACAUAAUUCAGAUAUUGCAUCAACUUGUCACAACCAGCCCACUUUGUGGACCAUAGACGGCAACAAGAUAUGCACAAAACAAAGUGGCCGCACAUGAGUUGAUGGCUAUAGCCUCUACAGGAAAUGUGAAUAAAAAAAAAUUCAUUUUUAUCGGU